rnacentral:rRNA from 1 species
AACCGAGAACUCCUACGGGAGGUAGCAGUGGGGAAUAUUGCACAAUGGGCGAAAGCCUGAUGCAGCGACGCCGCGUGAGGGAUGACGGCCUUCGGGUUGUAAACCUCUUUCAGCAGGGAAGAAGCGAAAGUGACGGUACCUGCAGAAGAAGCACCGGCUAACUACGUGUCAGCAGCCGCGGUAAUACGUAGGGUGCGAGCGUUGUCCUGAAUUAUUGGGCGUAAAGAGCUUGUAGUCGGUUUGUCGCGUCUGCUGUGAAAAUCCGGGGCUUAACCCCGGACUUGCAGUGGGUACGGGCAGACUAUAGUGUGGUAGGGGAGACUGGAAUUCCUGGUGUAGCGGUGAAAUGCGCAGAUAUCAGGAGGAACACCGAUGGCGAAGGCAGGUCUCUGGGCCAUCACUGACGCUGAGAAGCGAAAGCAUGGGGAGCGAACAGGAUUAGAAACCCGAGUAGUCCGACUGAGA